AUGUCUCACGAACUCGCUUUUCGUUGUCGUGUCACCUCCAUUAUGGAAGCUUUGACAGCAACAGUCGUGCAAGAAAUCUGUCAAUUUAUGGGAGAAAGCUAUGCUGCUCUUCGAGUGGAAAUGUUGCAUGAACAAAAUAAAAAAGAGACAAGGAUGGAGAAGCCAGCGAACUGCCUUAAGAACGUUUCAAAACCUGUUAGCCCACCAAGUUUGGGAAACUUUCCAAUCGUGGGGCAAAUCCUCAAUAAACAAGAGGCCAACUAUCAUUGGCUAGAAGACGGUGCUGUUUUUGAAGGCCUAGCAUCACCGGUGCCAGAGACGGAGAGACGAGAGCCAUCACAGCCCGCUGGUCAGAUUACAGACACGGUACCAUGGCCAGUAUGGCUCAUCAAACAGGAGGAAAUGGCUGAUGAUGAUCUGGAAUCGGAAGGUUACGGCGAGUGGAUUCCAGAGACUCACAAGGCCAACCAGAAUAUCACAGGAGAAAGUGAUGAGGACGAGAGAAGUCCAGCCUCUGGGGGAUCCAAAGAACCUGGACUCGACGACUUCAAGAGAGAACAGAGUCCGUUGCUGGUGUCAGCUGAGGAUACUGCGACACCCAUAAAGACAAAGUAUGAAACGCGCAUGUUAAAACACACUGGGAAGCCACGUUUUCGCUGCGAUAUCUGCGGUGAGAAAUUCCAGCGUCAGAGCGGCUUGACCAGGCACCAGCGGCACAAACACAACACCGUGAAAACCUACAGUUGCACUGUGUGUGGGAAAGGGUUCACCUACAUCAAAUCCCUCAACACGCAUGAGCUCAUGCACUCUGACCUCUCUAUCCGUUCAACUAUAACUCUGGAUGAAGCCAAGGCAAGAAAAAGAGGUCUGACUGAUGAACCCACAGACAGAAAUGCAGCAGGAGAUAUGAUUAGUGCCAUCCUUCACUCAAAGCCAGGUGGAGAAAAGGUAUUCCGGGAGUAUGGGAAAACCAAAGGUCUUACGGAUAGCACACGGAGACUGAUGGUCAACAUUAUUGUGGCCGACAUGAUGGAAAACCAUGGGAUCCCCCCAUCAAGUGUCCGCACCAACUACGCCCUGGGGAUUGUGACUUUAUUCCCCUACUUGAAUGAUCCAGAUUCAGAGCAUGGUUAUGUAAGUAUGAACGGUGGACUGAAUUCUCUCUCAGGGGAUACCAGGCAAAAAGUUCCAGGACAUUAAAACGGCGUUCAUCUUUUUUUUAAACUGUUUUCUUAUUGAUUGACAGGAAAAAUAUUACGAUGCAGCUAGUGGGUCUGGUUACCUGACCUGGAGAAUAAAGACAGUGGGGCGCAACACGUCAUGUAAGACCAAGAAGAGAACCAAGCCCACCUAUCAAAAUGGUCCCAAGGCUCAGCGAAGUUGCCCUUCAGCUGUUAAGCAACUGUCGAGGGAUGAAUGCAGAGAGGCGAUAUCUGUGCUUCAGCAUACAACAACUAAUGAGUCACUGGUUCGAGAGAAGAUGAUGGCGACGUUCCAAUACAGACAGGAGGUGGUUCAUGAUCCGGAGAAGUCCUCAACUGUCCUAGAUGUCUUCCCCAGAUUCCUUGACACUACAGGCUUGGUAAGACUGUAUGAAUAGAAUUCAUCAUGUUUUAGUGAUUUUAAAAGAAAGUGGAAAGAUAAUUUUGUGAAUUUUUUGUUGUUGUUUAAUGUGCUUCAGAUCAACCAAGAUUUCACCAGACUUUUCGGAGAGGUGGUGUCUGGGACAUUUAUGGCGAAGUGGCCAACAUUUUUCAAACCCAGGGUCAUCGCAGAUUGCAAAACCCUUCCCUUCAGCGAACCUGUGGAAGACCUCCUCUCAUCUGCGCAGCAGGAAUCCAAUGAUUAUGGUACUAGUGCAGAAUUCAAAUAUGUUCUUUGGUAUUUCCAAUGACUUUUCUAACUUGACCAUACAAUGUCUGGGUGAAACUGGCAUGUGAGCUUUUACUGAGCAGUUCUUGUUUUUCACUGAAAAAUUAGGAUGGGAGAGUGACUUGGCAGCCAUUUUGUUGCUUCUGCAUCUCCUACCCCCGACCUCAAAGGGCCCAAAGACCGCAAAGAUCCGUACCUCUCAAGCUGCUGACCAUCUGGUUAGAUUUAUGAAGGUUUGUAUGUUCUGUGAUCUUUGUGCCUUUCUCCUUUCCUUAGGACAGUACUUGUUAACAAUACACAGCUCCUGUUUGCCACUGACAGUUUCACAUUAUGGUCUCCAGAGGUGUAGCCAAAUUCAAUAACAUCCCAUGUAAAUAGGAUAACCAUCCAUUUUAUGAAACUCUGAGCGCAUACGAGUGAAAAUAUAGUUAAGCUAAACCCUCAUCGCUAGGUUGCUUAGAUUAAGAUCAAUUUAUUGGUCAAUUGCACACAAGGUCCAACCGAAAUUUGACUUUCGCUUUUAACCCAACCCCACCGAAAGACACAUGCAUAUACAGGUUUUGGAGAGGUGUGGGGGGGCUGCUGUUGUGGGACGUAAAGUGCUUGCUCAUGGGCACAACGGACGGCAAUGGCAUCUAGAAUGGAACUGGAACCCACUGCCUGCUUGCUCACCUCUAAACGCUAGGCCAGCGUUUCCCAACUCAAGUACCCUCAACAGCACACGUUGCAUCCCCUGACAAACUCACUUGAUUCAACUUAAGGGCUUGAUGAUUAGUUGACAUGUUUCAGGUGUGCUUGUCCAGGGCUACAAUAAAAUGUGUACUGUUUUUAGGGACUGGAGUUGGGAACCACUGCGCUAGGCUACCUGCCUAGUGGUCAUGUGGUCUGCCCUCGGGAUUGUGGAACACGUUAUAUACUGUUGUCUUGUUCUCUUUUCCUCAGGUAGGGACAAGUAUGGUGACCUUCCUUGAGACAGUUAGACAUGAGCAGCAGCCCUUCCUCCUCUGUGUCGGUGAAAGGAAGAACAGCAUUCAGAAGUUUUACAUCGUCGUUGACCAGAAGGCCAUCCCAUGCAAGACCCAAACAUCAGUGGCAGCUUUUGAUGAGCUCUUUAAGGCACACUAUGUCUUCAGUGUGUCCUACCAUGAAGCGUUGUGUAACUUCUACACAUUCAUCCAGACCACCGUGUACGGUAUCGACGUGGGGAAGGCAAAGGAGUCCUCAAGAGUCAAGGAGAUUAGAGUAAGGCUGCUUAACAAAGACCAGGGGAGUGGUGCUGCCGGAGCACAAGGGAGCGGCGCUCCGGCCCUUUUCUCAAUUUGAGAAUAAGUUAGUUUAACAGCAUCUGCUCUAUUUCACUCCUGAAACAGUAACUCAAGAAGAUUUAAAUGCAUAUCCCCAUGAAGCUGAUUGAGAUCACAUGAUUGUCAUGCAGAUGCAGUCUGGACAUUUCACCGGUAAAACGCAAAGAAUUAUCAUUUACCAUUGACACUGAUGGCCUAUUUGUAAAUUAGAUAUGCCUGACUUGAUGUUUGAGGGUAUUACAAAUAUAACAUUUUAGUGAGAGUGUGGGCAGAUGGAGGAUGCAUAUUGUAUUAUAAUAUUCAAUAGGUUACAUCUGUCAGUACAAACUUUGAUUGUAAAAUUAUGUAAUUCACUUUUUUGGGGUCAGCUCCCACAUCUAACUAAACAAAUGGCACUAUACCACUGAGAAAACAUGUGAACACUUGAGAAUUUGUAAAAUACACUACAGCAGUUGUGCAUUGCUUUUUUUGACAUAAGAAAUUGUCAUGGUUUGUCAAAAUAUACUUGAAUCUGGACAGCAUAUACACUGAACAAAUAUAAAUGUAACAAUUUUACUGAGUUCAUAUAAGGAAAUCAGUCAAUUAAAAUAAAUUCAUUAGCCCCUAAUCUAUGGAUUUCACGACUGGAAAUACAGAUAUGCAUAUUUUGUUUCAGUGCGUUAAAAAAGGCUAGGGGCGUGGAUCAGAAAACCAGUCAGUAUCUGGUGUGACCACCAUUUGCCUAAUGCAGCAAGACAUCUCCUUUGCAGUGUUGAUCCGGCUGUUGAGUGUUGUCUCACUCCCCUUCAAUGGCUGUGCGAAGUUGCUGGAUAAUGGCGGGAAUUGGAACAUGCAGUCUUACGUCGAUCCAUAGCAUCCCAAACAUGCUCAAUGGGUGACGUGUCUGGAGUAUGGAAUUAUGUGCAGAUCCUUGCAACAUGGGGCCGUGCAUUAUCAUGCUGAAACAUGAGUUGAUGGUGAAGGAUUAGUGGCACAACAAUGGGCCUCAAUCUCGUCACAGUACCUUUGCAUUAAAAUUGCCGUCGAUAAAAUGCAAUUGUGUGUGUUGUCCGUAGUUUAUGCCUGCCCAUAACAUAACCCUCACUGCCACCAUAGGCCACUCUUAUCAACAUUGACAUCAAAGAACCACUCGCCCACAUGGCGCAAUACACGCCAUCUGCCUGGUUCAGUUGAAACCGGGAUUCAUCUGUGAAGAGCACAUAUCUACAGCGUACCAGUGAGCAUUUGCCCACUGAAGUCAGUUACCUCGCAGAAUUGCAGUCAGGUCAAGAACCUGGUGAGGACGAUGAGCACGCAGAUGAGCUUCCCUGAGACGGUUUCUGACAGUUUGUGCAGGAACUCUAAAGUUGUGCAAACCCACAGUUUCGUCAGCUGUCUGGGUGACUGGUUAUAGACAAUCCCACAGGUGAAGAAACUAGAUGUAGAGAUCCUGGGCUGGUGUGCUUACAUAUGGUCUGCGGUUGUGAGGCUUGUUGGAUGUACUGCCAAAUUCUCUAAAAUAAAGUGGAAGGCAGUUUAUGGUAGAUUACAUUACAUUAAAUUAUCUGGCAACAGCUCUGGUGGACAUUUCUGUAGUCAACCUGCCAAUUGCACACUCCCUCAAAACUUGAGACAUCUGCAGAAUUGGGUUGUAAUAAAACUGCACAUUUUAGAGUGGCCUUUUAUUGUCCUCAGCACAAGAUGAACCUGUAAUGAUCACGCUGUUUAAAUCAACUUUUUUGUAUGCCUCACCUGUCAAGUGUUUGGAUUAUCUUGACAAAUGAGAAAUCCUCAUUAACAGGAAUGUAAACAAAUUUGUGCACAAUUUUAGAGGAAUAAUUUCUGGGAUCUUUCAUUUCAGCUCAUGAAACACUACAUGUUACGUUUAUAUUUUUCAUUAUAAAUGAGAUUCUUCUGAUUUAAAUAAUUCGUUCUUAUUUUGUAUGUACAACACAAAUAUUGCGGGAAAAUGGAGGCCGACGAAGGUCGUCACUAGUUACCACAGCAGCAAAGUCAUAAAUCCCGCCUAUUUCUACAAUUUGUAAUUAAAAUUGUAUUUUAAUCCAAAUAUUAACUACACUGCUAACAAAUGAAGACCAAAAAGCAAAUUUCGUUUUUCAUAAUUUCUUACGAUAUAA
rnacentral:lncRNA from 8 species